AUUUAUAUAGUUUAAACAAAACAUUACAUUUUCAUUGUGAAAUUAGAAAAUUUUCUUAUAAAU
rnacentral:tRNA from 1 species